rnacentral:rRNA from 1 species
AUGGGGUCCGCGGCGUCGACCGACAGGGCCGAGCGGCGGAGGCGGGACCGGGCGCCGGGGCACAGCGGGGCCUCCGAUCCCCCGGCGGCGCCUCCGCAGGAUCCUUCGGCGUCGGCGUCGGCAUCGGAGGUGGAUGUGAGCAGAAAGGGGUGUAAGGUGGCGCCAGAGCCCAAGGAUGGGGAAGAGACGGCGCCGCUGCCGGGCUCUCCCAGCUUCCGGAUCUACUGCCAGAAGGCGGCCCGGGUCGACGCUCUGGUGGCAGAGGAAGCCGAUGAAAACGCGGACGACGACGGGUUUGCCAGUGCCGAGGACACUACUAUGGCGGUCAGGAAGGACGAUCCUCCACACUGCUCCGGCGACGCCCUACUCCUUGCAGACACUACUCUGGCGGUCAGGAAGAACGAUCCUCCACACUGCUCCGGCGACGCCCUACUCCUUGCAGACACUACUCUGGCGGUCAGGAAGAACGAUCCUCCACAAUGCUCCGGCGAGUUGCCCAAAUGUAAGGAUGGGUGGCUGAAGUUCAGAGGCCAGACGGUCGUCGGCGCGCUGCACAGCUUUAUCGUCUGUCACAGCAAGAGAACUUCAGCUCCUCCUCCUCCUCAUCCUCCUGCUGCGAAACCUCCCCACCGUCCCGGUGCUGCUUCACAAUCUGUUGCUGCAGAGCCCUAUCUCUGA